AUCGAACGCUGGCGGCAGGCUUAACACAUGCAAGUCGAGCGAGCGGCGGACGGGUGAGUAAUGUCUGGGAAACCGCCUGAUGGAGGGGGAUAACUACUGGAAACGGUAGCUAAUACCGCAUACUAUCAGAUGUGCUCAGAUGGGAUUAGUUAGUAGGUGGGGUAAUGGCUCACCUAGGCGACGAUCCCUGGCUGGUCUGAGAGGAUGACCGGCGACGCUGGAACUGAAGCACAGUCCCGACUACUACGAGAGGGAGCAGUGGGGGAUGUUGCGCAGUGGGCGCAAGCCUGGUGCAGCCAUGCCGCGUGUGUGGAGAAGGCCUUCGGGUUGUAAAGCACUUUCAGCGAGGAGGCGUUACUCGCAGAAGAAGCACCGGCUAACUCCGUGCCAGCAGCCGCGGUAAUUC
rnacentral:rRNA from 1 species